rnacentral:rRNA from 1 species
GACGAACGCUGGCGGCGUGCCUAAUACAUGCAAGUUGAGCGCUGAAGGUUGGUACUUGUACCAACUGGAUGAGCAGCGAACGGGUGAGUAACGCGUGGGGAAUCUGCCUUUGAGCGGGGGACAACAUUUGGAAACGAAUGCUAAUACCGCAUAAAAACUUUAAACACAAGUUUUAAGUUUGAAAGAUGCAAUUGCAUCACUCAAAGAUGAUCCCGCGUUGUAUUAGCUAGUUGGUGAGGUAAAGGCUCACCAAGGCGAUGAUACAUAGCCGACCUGAGAGGGUGAUCGGCCACAUUGGGACUGAGACACGGCCCAAACUCCUACGGGAGGCAGCAGUAGGGAAUCUUCGGCAAUGGACGAAAGGCUGACCGAGCAAAGCCGCGUGAGUGAAGAAGGUUUUCGGAUCGUAAAACUCUGGUGGUAGAGAAGAACGUUGGUGAGAGUGGAAAGCGCAUCAAGUGACGGUAACUACCCAGAAAGGGACGGCUAACUACGUG